rnacentral:rRNA from 1 species
GAUGAACGCUGGCGGCGUGCCUAAUACAUGCAAGUCGAGCGAACAGACGAGGAGCUUGCUCCUCUGACGUUAGCGGCGGACGGGUGAGUAACACGUGGAUAACCUACCUAUAAGGCUGGGAUAACUUCGGGAAACCGGAGCUAAUACCGGAUAAUAUAUUGAACCGCAGGGUUCAAUAGUGAAAGACGGUUUUGCUGUCACUUAUAGAUGGAUCCGCGCCGCAUUAGCUAGUUGGUAAGGUAACGGCUUACCAAGGCAACGAUGCGUAGCCGACCUGAGAGGGUGAUCGGCCACACUGGAACUGAGACACGGUCCAGACUCCUACGGGAGGCAGCAGUAGGGAAUCUUCCGCAAUGGGCGAAAGCCUGACGGAGCAACGCCGCGUGAGUGAUGAAGGUCUUCGGAUCGUAAAACUCUGUUAUUAGGGAAGAACAAAUGUGUAAGUAACUAUGCACGUCUUGACGGUACCUAAUCAGAAAGCCACGGCUAACUACGUG